CCGCAAUUAACUGUGAACAGGCGGAAAUACGGUGAAUGACAGCUGAAGAAAUGGCAGCAAGGCCAAAAGCGAGAGAGAGCGAGAGAUGGGCUGGUGGUGGCACAAAUGUGUGGCACCGGAAGCAUAAGAUGGGGUCACCGGAAACCGUCGCUAACGUGCCCGCAGGGCAUACACUUGCCAACGAAUAUGACUAGGAUUCAAGGCAAAAGGGAAGUGAAUGCAGCAAAUAAACGCUAUAAAUUCAAGAUUAAAGGUUGGCCAAUAACUGCAGGUAAAAGUUAAAAACAAAAUCAAUUUUGCUUAAAAUGUAACAAAAAUAUUAUUACAGAAAAUGAAACCGAGUAAAAGGCAAGAAAAGGAAUUAAGGAGACGUCAAACAC
rnacentral:lncRNA from 1 species